rnacentral:lncRNA from 1 species
UUGGUUCUUUUCCGAUGAGUUCCCUUCAGUCUCUGGAGGUUGCUCUGAACUCUGUUAGCUCUUCUCUCACUAUCUUUUUCCCUGCCAGGGUAAUAGGAAUAGAAUUGCCUUUUCUUUCACUGAAACUCUGAAUUUAUAACCUGAUUUUUGUGGACCUGUGGGCUCAAAUGAGAGAGGCCCAAGUCCAAAAAAAUUCUGUUAUAUUUUUUUUUUAUUUUUUAUUUUUUUAUUUUUUUUUCAUUUUUUUUAUUUUAUUUUUAUUUUUUUU